AGAAUUUUUCCUGUUCUCUCUCUUGCCCUCGAAGCUCAACUGUUCAAAUCCAAAGAUGAAUUGCCUUGUGGUCCUGGUAGCUGGUCUCAUUCUCAGUGUCUCUCUGGGUAAGGAAAUAUAACUGUUUAAGAAGGAACUGCAUAUGCUGGAAAAUCGUAGGUAGACAAAAAUGCUGGAGAAACUCAGCGGUUGCAGCAGCAUCUAGGAGCGAAGGAAAUAGGCAACGUUUUGGGCCAAAACCUUGGGUCUGAAGAAGGGUUUCGGCCCGAAACGUUGCCCAUUUCCUUCGCUAUCUCUCCAGCAUUUUUGUGUACCAAGGAAAUAUAACUAUUUUGUUGUCCUCUAGUUUAACUGUGGAAAGACAUUUUAGAUUCUCAAGUGGGAUUGGAAUUCUUGGUUAAACAUUUAGUUGUAUGUUCGUUCACAUGUAGAGAGUUUGUUAAUGAAUAUGGAGUCCACUGGUUCUCCCCUAUCCACUCUACUAGUUACAUCCUCGAAAAAUUCUAUGAGAUUCGUCAGACAUGAUUUACCUUUCAUAAAUCCAUGCUGACUUUGUCCAAUGAUUUCACCACUUUCCAAAUGUGCUGCUAUCGCAUCUUUAAUAACUGAUUCUAGCAGUUUCCCCACUACCGACGUUAGACUAACUGGUCUGUAAUUCCCCAUUUUCUCUCUCCCUCCCUUUUUAAAAAGUGGGGUUACAUUAGCUAUCCUCCAACCCUCAGGAACUACUCCAGAAUCUAAAGAGUUUUGAAAAAUUAUCACUAAUGCAUCCACUAUUUCUGGGGCUACUUCCUUAAGUAUUCUGGGAUGCAGCCUAUCUGGCCCUGGGGAUUUAUCGGCCUUUAAUCCAUUCAAUUUACCUAACACCACUUCCCGGCUAACCUGGAAUUCACUCAGUUCCUCCAUCUUAUUUGACCCCCGGUCCCCUGCUAUUUCUGGCAGAUUAUUUUUAUCUUCCUUAGUGAAGACAGAAUCAAAGUAGUUAUUCAAUUGGUCUGCCAUGUCCUUGUUCCCCAUGAUCAAUUUACCUGUUUUUGACUGCAAGGGACCUACAUUUGUUUUAACUAACCUUUUUCUCUUCACAUAUCUAUAAAAGCUUUUGCAGUCAGUUUUUAUGUUCCCUGCCAGUUUCCUUUCAUAAUCUAUUUUCCCUUUCCUAAUUAAGCCCUUUGUCCUCCUCUGCUGGACUGAAUUUCUCCCAGUCCUCUGGUAGGCUGCUUUUUCUGGCUAAUUUGUACGCUUCAUCUUUUGUUUUGAUACUAUCCCUGAUUUCCCUUGUUAUCCACGGAUGCACUACCUUCCCUUAUUUAUUUUUUUCCAUACUGGGAUGAACAAUUGUUGUAGUUCAUCCAUGCAGCCUUUAAAUGCCUUCCAUUGCAUAUCCACCGUCAACCCAUUAAGAAUGAAUUGCCAGUCUAUCUUGGCCAAUUCACGUCUCAUACCGUCAAAGUCACCUUUCUUUAAGUUCAGGACCCUUGUUUCUGAAUUAACCAUGUCACUCUCCAUCCUAAUGAAGAACUCAACGAUAUUAUGGUCACUCUUGCCCAAGGGGCCACGCACAACAAGACUGCUAACUAACCCUUCCUCAUUACUCAAUACCCAAUCUAGAAUAGCCUGCUCUCUCGUUGGUUCUUCUACAUGUUGGUUUAGAAAACUAUCCUGCAUACAUUCCAAGAAAUCCUCUUCCUGAGCACCCUUGCCAAUUUGAUUCACCCAAUCUAUAUGUAGAUUGAAGUCACCCAUUAUAACUGUUUUACCUUUGUUACACGCAUUUCUAAUUUCCUGUUUGAUGCCAUCCCCAACUCCACUACUACUGUUAGGUGGCCUGUACACAACUCCCACAAGCGUUUUCUGCCCCUUAGUGUUUCGCAGCUCUACCCAUAUCGAUUCCACAUCCUCCAAGCUAAUGUCCUUCCUUUCUAUUGCAUUAAUCUGCUCUCUAACCCACCUCCUUUCCCUUUCUGUCUAUCCCUCCUGAAUAUUGAAUAUCCCUGGAUUGGUCACCCUGGAGCCAUGUCUCUGUGAUCCCAACUAUAUCAUAGUCAUUAAUAGCUAUCUGCACAUUCAACUCAUCCACCUUAUUACGAAUGCUCCUUCCAUUGAAACACAAAGCCUUCAGGCUUGUUUUUACAACACUCUUACCCCUUAUACAAUUAUGUUGAAAAGUGGCCCUUUUUGAUUUUUGCCCUGGUUUUGUCUGCCUGCCACAUUUCACCUUGCUACCUAUUGCUUCUACCCUAAUUUUACACCUCUCUGUCUCUCCGCUCACACAUUUAAGAAACCCUUUCCCUUUAACUCCAUCCUCAACUAUCCCAUUUGACACCCCACCCCCCUUAUUCAGUUUAAAACCACCCGUGUAGCAGUGGCAAACCUGCCUGCCAGAAUGCUGGCCCCUUCACCUGUUAAGAUGCAAUCCGUCCCUUUUGUACAGUUCCCCCUUACUCCAAAACAGAUCCCAGUGAUCCAAGAAUCUAAAUCCCUGCCCUGUGCACCAGUUCCUCAGCCACACAUUCAGGUCCCGUAUCUCCCUGUUCCUGCUCUCGCCAGCACGAGGAACUGGAAACAAACCGGAGGUAACAACCCUGGAGGUCCUGCUUUUCAACAUUUUUCCGAGCUCUCUAAAGUCACGCUGCAGAAUAUUCAUCCCCUUCUUUCCGACAUCAUUUGUGCCGACAUGCACUACUACUUCCGGCUGUUCACCUUUGCCCUUGAGGAUAUUCUGCACUCUGUCCGUGACAUCCUGGAUCCUGGCACCUGUGUUCUGUUUGCACACAGUGCUAGAUAGGCAAAGAGACUUCAGGUAACUGUUUGCAGUGUUACUCCUGCACAGCAUCACGAAACAGAUGUGUGGAUACUGCUAUUAAUUGCACUCAGGAUAUCGAGCAAUGCUUCCUUGGGGUUGCGGAAAUUGGUAAUACUACCUU